rnacentral:tRNA from 1 species
GGGGACGUAGCUCAGCUGGGAGAGCGCCUGAAUCGCACUCAGGAGGUCGGCGGUUCGAAUCCGCUCGUCUCCACCA